UAACUCCCAAGUACCCAGCACAAGACACAAUAAGUCUUGUUGAUUUGUUGACUCAUUAACCAAAUCAAAAUUUUCCAGGUAAUCCCUCUUUAUGCAGUUUUAAACAUAAACUGACUGGGUGGCUCAGUCAGUUAGGUGGCUGACUUCAGCUCAGGUCAUGAUCCCACGGUUUGUGGGUUCAAACCCCACAAUAAAGAUAAAUAAACAUUAAAAAUAAAUAAAUAAAUAUAAAUUCCAGUAUCAAGAGUAAUGUUAGUCAUCCAUUGUAUCUAUUCCUGACAAUGGAAAAGCCUAACUUGGUUCACCGCCAAAAGAAAAUUCAAAUUUCUUAGGGUUCUAAGCUUCUACAUUUGCACAAACACAAUCACAACGAGGUUUUUUUUUUUCUGUAGCCAUCUGCUUUUCAGGAUAGGCUCUUCUUGGGGGUGCCUGACUCACUCAGUUGGUGGAGCUGGCAACUCUUGAUCCCGGGGUUGUGAGGUCAAUUCCCAUGUUGGGUGGAGAGACUACUUAAAAAAUAAAAUCUUUAAAAAAAAAAAAAGAACGGGCUCCUCUUGCCAUAAUGGCAAAGUGAAGCAUAAAAG